rnacentral:rRNA from 1 species
UACGGGGGGGGCAAGCGUUGUUCGGAAUUACUGGGCGUAAAGGGCUCGUAGGUGGCCAACUAAGUCAGACGUGAAAUCCCUCGGCUUAACCGGGGAACUGCGUCUGAUACUGGAUGGCUUGAGUUUGGGAGAGGGACGCGGAAUUCCAGGUGUAGCGGUGAAAUGCGUAGAUAUCUGGAGGAACACCGGUGGCGAAGGCGGCAUCCUGGACCGACACUGACGCUGAGGAGCGAAAGCCAGGGGAGCAAAGCGGG